UGAAUACGAGAUGCUACGGCAUUGAAGCAGUGUAUGUCAGACUUCCAAGAAAAGCUCGCAAUGUCAUAAACAAUAAAUGCCUGUACCAUAACCGACACAGGUGGGUAGGUAGAGUAUACUAAGGGGCGCGAGAUAACUCUCUCUAAGGAACUCGGCAAAAUGACUCCGUAACUUCGGGAGAAGGAGUGCCUUAUUUUAUAAGGUUGCAAUAACAAGAUCCAAGCAACUGUUUACCAAAAACACAGGUCUCCGCUAAGUCGAAAGGCGAUGUAUGGGGGCUGACGCCUGCCCAGUGCCAGAAGGUUAAAGAAGUUGGUUAGCUUCGGCGAAGCUGAUGACUGAAGCCCUGGUGAACGGCGGCCGUAACAAUAACGGUCCUAAGGUAGCGAAUUUCCUUGUCGGGUAAGUUCCGACCCGCACGAAAGGCGUAAUGAUUUGGAUACUGUCUCGGAGAGGGGCUCGGUGAAAUAGACUUGUCUGUGAAGAUGCGGACUACCUGCACCUGGACAGAAAGACCCUAUGAAGCUUUACUGUAACUUGAGAUUGAAAUUGGACUUUAUUUGCGCAGUAUAGGUGGGAGACGUUGAGAAUAUUCUUGCGGGAAUAUUGGAGUCAUCAGUGAGAUACCACUCUUGUAAUGUUAGAUUUCUAACUUUGUAUCAUUAUCUGGUCAAAGGACAGUUUCAGGCGGGCAGUUUGACUGGGGCGGUCGCCUCCUAAACGGUAACGGAGGCGCACAAAGGUUUCCUCUGAACGUGUAGAAAUCGUAUCUAGAGUGUAAAGGCAUAAGGAAGCUUGACUGUGAGACCUACAAGUCGAGCAGGGACGAAAGUCGGUCUUAGUGAUCUGACGGUGCUGAGUGGAAAGGCCGUCACUCAACGGAUAAAAGUUACUCUAAGGAUAACAGGCUGAUCUCCCCCAAGAGUUCACAUCGACGGGGAGGUUUGGCACCUCGAUGUCGGCUCAUCGCAUCCUGGGGCGGUAGUACGUCCCAAGGGUUGGGCUGUUCGCCCAUGAAAGCGGUACGCGAGCUGGGUUCAGAACGUCGUGAGACAGUUCGGUCCAUAUCCGGUGUAGGCGUUAGAAUAUUGAGAGGAGCCUUCUUUAGUACGAGAGGACCGAGAAGGACAUACCUCUGGUGUACCAGUUAUCGUGCCAACGGUAAACGCUGGGUAGCUAUGUAUGGAGUGGAUAACCGCUGAAAGCAUCUAAGUGGGAAGCCCACCUCAAGAUAAGUAUUCU
rnacentral:rRNA from 1 species